UACGAAGGGGGCUAGCGUUGCUCGGAAUCACUGGGCGUAAAGGGUGCGUAGGCGGGUCUUUAAGUCAGGGGUGAAAUCCUGGAGCUCAACUCCCAGAACUGCCUUUGAUACUGAAGAUCUUGAGUUCGGGAGAGGUGAGUGGAACUGCGAGUGUAGAGGUGAAAUUCGUAGAUAUUCGCAAGAACACCAGUGGCGAAGGCGGCUCACUGGCCCG
rnacentral:rRNA from 1 species